UGUAUGUACUUAGGUUUUACAGAACAGUAUUUGACCAAAACCAUGAAUCUAAAUCCAUACUUGUUAUUACAUGGAUUUAGAUGACAAAUCCCAUGCUCUAAACCAUAAUCUCAACAGCCAGGGCUAGAACAUGAUUUGCUUGUAAAGCAGUAUGAGACAUCCUAGAUACAGCACUAUGAAAAAGUCCUACUGCAUUUCAUUCCUUAAUGUGACAUUUGAGAAAAUUCUGGCAGAUAUCUAUUUAAGGCCACAGGUUAUAUUGUCUCUGAAAGCAAAAGACAGGGAGUUGACAGAAGGCACAUGUUUCCAAGAGUUGGACAGUAGUAAUUCCCACUGGAGGUAUAAAUGGAAGAAGCUGGAUGGAAAAGACCUUGCUUAAAGGAUAAUAAAGUGUAAAACACUCAGAAGUGUUAAAGGUAAGACCUCAACCCUGCAAGCUGAUAAACAGGCCCAGACUUUUAUUUAUAGUGACAUGAGUGACAUUUAUCUGCCUUUCACAGAACAUCUAAUCCUCUUGUCAAGGUGUGUCUUUAAUGGAGACCUGUUUCUGGUCAGAGUUGGCAGACUUUGAAUACAAAUGUGUCUGCCCUGGCUGAAGUUUCUGAUUAAAAAAAAUCUUUGGGAUAUGAAAUCACUGGGUAAAUAUAUCAGUUCAUUUUCAAUUUGCCUCAGAGAAGACAUUGUCUGAAGAGGGUCUUGGCUUUGUGAUAGAAGUUAUGGCCUGUCAAUCAAAGUAGAAGUGGAAGUGAAUUACAAUUACCAAGGGGUUCACAAACCUCAGUGUCUCCCUACUUAGUCCCUAAGCACAAGCAUGAUAGAAUUGUAAAUGUCUCUUCCUUACCCCAAAUAGUUAACACAGUUCAGUUUUAGAAACUGAAAAUCAGGAUGUCAAGAAUAUCAAAAACUGCCCAACAUCUAUAAUUAAGGAACUGUGGGAAAUCCAGGGUAUGGUUCUCUCAAGGAGUUUGUGAUACAUGUUGAGGUAAGACAAAAAUCACAUUUAAAAUUAAGUAUCAAUAAACAAUUUGAAUAGUAGUUCAAGAAAAAAAUGGUUAUUUCCAAACAAACAAAUAGAACUUACUCUGAGUUCAGAAGAAGGGAAAAAGAAAAGGUUGCUGUGGGUAGGAAAUGAAGCAAGAAUAUAUGGAGGAAGAGGGAUUGGAAACAGGUCUUGAUGGACAAGUGGGAUAAAUGAGAUGUUCACCAAAAUGAUGUGUCAGUUAAGUUUAACUCCAGGCAACAGGGAGCCCACCCAAUCCCACCACUACACACACACGUAACACUCAUACAUGCCUGCAUACACCCCCUCCUCCUCUACUUGGCCAUGUGCUUCUGUGGUCACUUAAUCCACACUGCCAUCCACUGUUCUUCAGUGUAGGGUCUCUGUCAUAGGGCUGCUCCUCCUCUUCAUACUAGAUGACAAGCACCUUAAGAAACUCCAGCAUCCUGUUUGCCUUGUGUAGAGCUUUGUCCAAAUGAAGCUCUUUUUUCACCCACCUUCAACUUUAUGGAGGUGUAAUUUUACAUACAUUAAAGCACAACCAGUUGAAAUGUACAGGUCAAUGGAUUUUGAUCUACUCCUGUGUAGCCAACACUACAAUCAAGAUGUAGAACAAUUCUAUCACCUCAAAAAGUUCCCUUUUGCUCCUAUGCAUUGGCAUCUCCUUACUCUCCUGUGGCCUCAGGCAAGCAUUAUUCUGCUUUUUGUCCCUGUAGAUAAGAUGUGUUUUUUUCUAGAGUUUCCUAUGAAUGAAAUCAUACCAUUAACCUUUUUUCUGCCUUCUUUUGCUCAGUAUGUGUUUCUGAUACUCCCCCAUCUUGUGUGAAUCAGUCUUUUUAUUGCUGUGUUGCAUCUCACUGUAUAGAUGUACCACAAUUUGUUUACCAUUCACCUGCUGGUGGUUACUUUGAUUUCCAGUGUUUUGGAAUAAAACUCCUAUUAACAUUCACAUACAAGUUUUUUUGAGGAAUUACAUUUUCAUUUCUUUGGGGCAAACACCUAGGAAUGAGGGUUGCACGGUAGGCAUAUUUUUACCUUGAAUGAAACUGCCUAACUGUUUUCAAAGUAGUUGUAUCGUUUUAACUAAGUAUGUGCCUGAUGACUGUAGGAACGGCCUCCAGGAGCAUUAUUGUCAUUGUCAGAAAACCUUUGAAGGCUCUCCAAGGAUUUCUCUACAACAGCGUUCACAUCCAUGGCCCUCUACCCUCUGCAUUGGUUUUCUCAUCAGACUUUACCUUCCACGUGUUAGUGUACGGUGUAGGCUUACUUCACUCUCACACAUUCCACUGAACUACUUGGUCAUCCACACUUGAGCCGUAUGUGACAGUGCUUCCAGGACUACAAAUGCAUUUGUACUAGUCCAGCCCCUCUUUUUGCCUUUUUGUGCAUGUGACCAGUGGCACGUGCUUACUGGCCAAAUGGUCAGGCUUAGGGCUCAACAGGUCAGGGUUGGGCAACAACUUAGGUUUGUGGCUCACAUUUUUAAGACAAACUUCACAGACAUUAUUAAUCUUAAGAUUUUACUUGUUUUUAAACAUACCAAGUGUGUAUCUAGGAGUUCGGAAAUCCAUUUUGGGGGAAUGGACGGGAGUACAGGGGCGAUUCUCUCUUCAUAGAUUCAGUCCACAAACAUUUAGUAAGCAUCUCCUAUGAGCAAAACUUUGUGGGAGAUACAAAUAUGUAGUGUCUCUGUAGGGUGAGUGUGAGUCCCUGCAGCAGUCUAACAGCAGAGUGGGGAAGGAGAACAGGAGAUGGCUUAGAGAUCCUAAAGUAAUCAGGUGAGCUGAUGUGAUCUUAGUGGAAGCACAAAGAGGAAAAUUGAAAUGUAUGGUUCUUGACAAUUACAAAGAGGAAGAAAAAAAUAAAAAAAGAAAGGCAGCCCACCUUGCCUCUUUAUUCAUUCACUGCCUAAGCAAAUAACUUAAAUCAUCCAUUUGGUGAUUAUGAAUUUGAAUGAAGUCUGUUGCUAUUAGAAGCAUCUCAUGGGUGAGGUUUGGCCCAUAGUGUCUCUUGGGCUCUGCUUUUGAGUUCCUUCAUGGUAACGCUGAUCGUGAAGAUGAAAACCAGGAUGUAGGGGAGAAGAGUCAUGCAUUUUAAGAAUCACUAAUGACCGGUUUUUGCUCAUAAGAUAAUGAUAUCAAUUUGAAGGAGAAAAAACAGUUAUUUUAUGUAGAAAGUGUGCAAGCACCAUUUCUCAUUUCUUCUAUUUUUUUUAAACCUGCUUUGCACUGUUCUACAAAUCCCCAUAUUCUUCUCUGAAAUUAUUUGUUCACCAGGACUAGUGUGUUUCUUUGUCCUAACCACGUUACUUAAAUAGAAUCAUUCAAGAAACUUGAAUAAGAACUACAACAUAGAAUUGAACUCUUGCGUAAUGCAAAAAUGAGUCAUUAUUUGGCUUAAGGCUUUACAAUGUGGGAGCUGCUCGUACUCCAGAAUUUAGUACAGCACAAUAGGAGAAUGUCUUAAAUUAGUGCUCUCAGAAAUGCAACAAAGGCUUCUCUGUGAGUGAUUGGCAGGAACAUGUUUCUAUCUUUCUAUCAUGGAAUCACUUGCUUAAGGAGAACCAACUUAGAAAUCUCUACCUUUUACAGAGAGUACUUUAGUCAAUGGUGAGGAAUAAAGAGGAUUUUAUGACACCGAACACCAUAAAUAUUUUCAUGCAGCUGAUCCCACCACCCAAGGUUAAGUCAAGUGACCUAAAACUCCCAAGAAAAUGCAUUCCCCUUUGCUUUAGUACACAGAGAUUUCACAACAUGUGAGCCUAAGUGUUAUUAUCUACUGCAUAGACUGCAUAGUAUCAGUCUCACUUCUAAAAUCUUGUUUGUUUUUGUCCAGCCAGCACUGUCAGGGUAGGAACACAUCUUUCCAUAAAGGUGCUGCAUUGGAGAGAGGAACAGCCCUUCCUCUGGGCUUUAAGACACCUGGAGCUGUAACUGUACUGACCCAAGUCACAUGGCCUGGCUGCUAACCCUAACUGCUGUGUGUGAAUUUGAACAAGCUUCCUGCCUCCUUUGGAUCCCACCACUGUCACCUGAAAACCAAGGAACUAAAUCAAGUGACCUCUAAGGACCCUUCUGACUAUGAUGGUCCAAGAUUUGACACUCCCUCCCUGGGGUGAAUGCCUGUGGCAUUGGCAAUCUGCAUUUAAUACAUGGACACACACAGGGUUGUCCCCACUUGUUUUCGGCUGUGUGGGUAUCCACUCAGGGGGGCACUCUACACAUUCAGUAACAUUUGACAGACCUUGACUGAGCAGCAAUUUAGAUUCCUACCAACAGUGUACAAGGGUUCCCUUUUCUCCACAUCCUGGGCAGAACUUGUUAUUUCUUGUUGAUAAACUGUCUCCUUUGACUGGUGUGAGGUGGUAGGUCAUUGUGGUUUUGAUUUGCAUUUGCCUGCUGAUUAGUGAUAUGGAACAUCUUUUCAGGUGUCUGUAGCCAUCUACAUGUCUUCUUUGGAAAAGCGAUUGUUCAGGUCUUCUGCCAAUUUUUGAAUCAGAUUGUUUUUUUUUGGUGUGGAGUUGUAUGAAUUUUUUUUGUAUAUUUUAGAUAUUAGUCCCUUAUCAGGUUAUUGUUUGCAAAUUCAUUCUCCCAAUCAGUAGGUUGUCUUUUUGUCUUACUGAUGGUUUCCUUUGCUGUGCAGAUUUGUAGUUUGAUGUAGUUCUACUUUUUUAUUUUUGCUUUUGUUUCCCUUGCCUGGGGAGACAUCUCUAGAAAAAAAUUCCUAAUGUUGAUGUUCAAAAAUUACUGCCUAUGUUUUUUUCUAGUAGUUUUAUGGUUUCGGGUCCUAUAUUUAGGUCUUUAAUCUAUUUUGAGUUUAUUUUUGUAUAUGGUGUAAGAUUGUGAUCCAGUUUCAUUCUUCUGCAUGUAGCUAAUUUUCCUAAAUUUCCCAGUUUUACCAUCUACUGAACAGACUUUUUCCUCAUUGUAUAUUCUUGCCUCCUUUGUCAUAUAUUAAUUGACCAUAUAGGUUUAUUUCUGGGCUCUGUAUUCUGUUCCAUUGGUCUAUGUAUCUGUUCUUGUGCCAGUACCAUACUGUUUUGAUUACUGUUGGCCUGACUUAUGUUUUAAAAGGAAGUCUGGAAGCUAUGGGAAGAACUAUGGAGAGGCAAAGUGGUACAGAGAAAGCUGUGUAGUGGGUUAAAGAUGAUCACAAAUUCUUUGCCAUGCUCCCAUUGAGAGGUACAGACUAUUUCUCAUUACUUGAACCUGGACACAACCUGAGACUGCUUUGACUAAAAGAAAGCACAGAAGUGACUCUGUAACCUCCGUGGCUGUAAGUAACAGCUGCCACUUCCCUUUCAGUACAACUACCUCUUAUGACGCUACAGUCACAAGAAGCUAGUGAGAUCUCCAGGGGCCUUUCUCCUUCCUUAUCCUCCAUGCAAACUACAAAUCAGAGUUGAGCCUGGUGGGUCUUGGAGCCAGGGACUGGGCAGCCAAAGACCAGAGCAGAAAUACACAAAGGCUCAGACAGAUAAGCAGGACAGGAAGUCAUAGAGAGUGGUGAGACAUGCUGUGGCAGGUGAUGGAGUCAGAAUAGCUAAGGACCUGAAUGGGAAGAAUCUGAAGCCCAACAAAGUUAGACUUGAUAGCAUGCUGCAACAAGGGAGAGAGGUCCAGAAGAAUUAUGGAGCCCUCACCAAACAAGGGAGGAGACAGGUAUAUUCUAGGAUUGGUGGCAGGUGGAGUUUAGGUAAAAUCUGUGCGAAGUGGUAUUUUGAUAGACUCAAAGCAAAGCCUUUGGGUUGCAUAUGGAGUUAAUAAUUAGGGCUGGACUGAGAAGAGGAGCCAGGAUCUUAUCUCCUUGGAAACUACAAAAUUAAGAUAAAUGGUAAUGCUAUAUAGGGAGGAAAUGGAGGUGGCUUGCAUGUGUCAAAGUGACCCAAAAUCCUCAGUGUAAAAGAGAGAUGCCACUUUGUCUCCAGCAAGGGUUCAAAUAGCAGAGUUCUUUUUUGGAAAAGAAUGAUUUUAGAGAACAAGGUUUUGCAGCACCUUAUCCUCUGUUGAUUAGCAAAGCAGUUUUUCAGGUUCCCACCAGAGUUCUUUGACACCAGUUUGUUGGAACAGUAAGGAGGACGGGGUGCUGUCUCAGAUCAUCAUCUUUGGCCUAAAUGGUAAAUGGGGCUAAAGUCGCAAGUACUGAAAAUUUCAAAUGAUAGAGAAAAUUUACAAGGACAGCAACCUGGCGGGUGGCUCCCCUCUGCCUCGCCCCCCUCCUCAACCCAAACAAAAAAACACUCCCUUGGUUUCCCUGUGCUGCCGAGCACCGGGUCCCAAGGUUCGCUCCCUAAACUCCCUCCUUGCCUGCUUGCUUGCUGUGCACGUAGGAAUGUUACAGAUAAGGAAGCAGAAAGGUAUAAAUUGCUCCCUUUUCCUUUGUUCGGGGCUCAGACUUUUUGAGAGAUUACUCCCCUCUGAGCCUGCCGGUGUGAAGUAAAGCCUCAAUACUCCAAGACCUCUGAGUGCCGCUUGGUUUUUUUCCAUCGGUGAUCCAGUCUAGGCUUUUUUUUCAGUACUUUUCGUAACAGGAACAGUAAGGAGGAUGGGGUGCUGUCUCAGAUCAUCUUUGGCCUAACUGGUAAAUGGGGCUGAAGUGGCAAGUACAGACAAUUUCAAGGCAGUGCUCCUUGUAGCAGAAAGGAGAAAUGGUUGCAUAAAGGUGGAAUAUUAAUAUAAAGGAAGACUGUAGCAAUUAAAAAAGACCAAAGUAGAGUUAUAGGUAGUAAUAUUUUGUAAGCUGUAGCACUUUUGGAACCAGAAACCUGAUACUUAAAAUUACAAACUGUAAGUACAUGUUUGUGAAUGCACAGCAAAACAUCUCUAAGGACAUUUACCUAUUUAUUGCUUGAACAUUAUAUAAUAACCUCUUCAUGUGUUACUUGGGCAAUUAAAACAGAAAGUUUAUAAGGGAAAUGAGAAGAGACUAAAGCUAAAAAUUUACCGUGUUUAUAGAAAGAAGAAAAGAGACCAGCAGGAAUGUUAACACAUAGGAUGUGCUCAUUAAAGCAGAUGUGAAAUUGCACAGCGAGAGUUCCUGAGCAUGUUCCAGACUCUUCUUCUCUUAGGGUGUAAAUUCUUCCCAGGGAGUUUGUACAUGGUGGCAGGCGCAGAGGAGGCAUGAGGAACCCCUGGAGUCACUGUUCUUUGGAGACCCAGAUUUGGAAUGGUGGCCGAAGUGGCCAGGUGGUAGGAAUAUCUCUGUAAGAACUUCUGUCUUUGUAACUAGUGAAUAUUUUCACAGUAGAUAUCCUGUUCCUGAUCAAAUGCUCACGCACUAGUUUUAGCAUCCAUUGAUGAUUCUUGCCUAACUCAAUAUUAUAAUAGUUGCAAAAUGGUGAUAUUUCUCUGAAUCAUUUAUUCUACAUUAUUGAUUAGCAUUCUAUGGAAAUAGAAGUGGAGAAGGGAAAGCUCUCUUUUAUAGUAGAAUUCCAACUGAUAAUGUAUAUUACUAUAUAGAUGCACACAUACAUAUAUAUAAUAUACUACUAAUGUAUGUGAAGGUAUACUUUAUAAAGUUUAGAUUAUUUGACAUUCUAAUAUCUAAAUUAUAUGUAAUUACACACACAUACAUUUUGUGUGUAAUAAGUGUGGGCACGUAGAUUCUUAUUUUAUUCAUGGAUUUUAAGGUAUUACUUUCAUUUACUUUGAUGCUGAAAAUAUCUCAGAUUUGAUCAGUGGGAGCCCCUUUAAGUUAUCUCCUCCUGCAUUCUUCUGCUAUAUUUCCAUCAUUUUUAGAAUAUGUCUUUCCUUCUGGCACAAGAUGUUUUUGGCUCAUCUUAAAAUUUUCAUGCCCCACCACUGGAAUCACCAUUUCUCCAAGAUGUCCUGGAAGCCUGUGUGUGUUCAGAAAUUAAGUUAGGUCUAAUAAAGUUCCAGAAUUACCUGUUGUGGGGAAGUUGGGGUUCUAUGGCCAGGAUUCUCACUGAACUUAAACCACUUGAUGAUGUAACUGGCCUGUUGCUAGGCUACUGUUUCCACACCUGUAGGCAAUAGUUAUUACUGCACUAUAUAGAGAGCUUGGCCCAGUGCUCUGGGCAGAGGCAGAGACGCUAGUGCUCAAACUACCACUGGGAGAAAAAGCCAGGUAAUAAACCCUUUCACCCCAAAGAAACAUUCUACUGUCAUUUGUUUGGUCACUGAAUCCAUAGCGAACUUGCUGGGGGCUGAAACCCAUUGGCAAGACAAUUGGCAAACUUGGCAGGGUCCAUUGUUGACAAAGGAAAAAGAUAGGCUGCCCUUAUGAGCAGGCUGCCACCAUGAAUGGGGAGACAGUGGAUUAUCCCCCAGUGAGUAUGUGGUCUGAGGUGGCUUGUGUCCUAGAGGGCUGAGAGCGAGUGGAGGUGAUACCUGAGGCAGUAGGGAUAGCUCGUGAUACAGUAAGUAGGUCUUUUGAGAGACAGAGUGUCCGUGAGGCAGCAGGGAUUGUGGGUUGGCUGCUUCUCACAGUAUUAAUAAAGUCUACAGAAGAGAAGGACACACUUCUGAAAAAGACCAAAGAAAUGGCAGCAUGAGAAUGCAAGCUGCAAACUGCUGUGGAUUCACUGAAGAAGGAAAUGGCAUUGAUGCGAGAGGAGGCAGCACAAAACACACGCAGCAAGGUGCCAUUGAAGAGGUAAAACAUUACUUACAGAAUGAGACAGCAGCACUGCCAGGUGCUCUGAAGGAGGAAAAGGCCAUCAAGGUAACAGACGAAUUCCUGAGGGAAGCACAAGUGGAGGUGCCACUAGAAUGCCAGCUGCAAAGCAUUGAGGUGAAAGUAAGAGAGCUGCUGAAGACUGAGCUAGCAUUGCCAGGAGGCACUGCAGAAAAGGUAAAGGAUGUAGCAGAGGAGGCACUUGUGAGAGUGGAGAGAAAGGUGUCAUCAGCCACAGAAAUGGAGAGGCGGGGGAAGGAUGAAGGGGUGGUGCUGGAGGCACUGACCCCUUCUCUACUGAAAGCAUGCCCAGUGGUUGUAAAGAAAAUAAAGACCCAGCAGCUGAGAGUUCCCCAAGGAGAGGAGCAGUCCCCUCUCUAGGUCGUAGAGCACUCUGUGCUCUGCGCCCAUAUGCAGGCACAGCUGGUGGAUUUGGGCUGCCGGUUUAGGCAGAAGCCCUUGGAGUCAAUACUAGCUUGGCUCCAGCAUCUGUGGGAUGUAUGAGUGGAUGGAAUUGUUCUCUCGGGAUCAGAUAUGGGAAAGGUGGCUCCCUGACACUUCAGCCUGCCUUGAGGCAGCAGUUACAAAGUGCACAUCAGACCCCAGAUAAUCACUCCCCACUAGAUUGACUUAUGGCUACACUUCGUGCUGUGUGGCCCAAUGAGGGUGAUCUACCAUCCACUCCUGCUAGAUGGCAGAUGUAUGCUGAGCUCCAACAGGUGUUAUGAGAGCUAGGCAUAAGAAAUGCCAUCUAGAGUCCAGAGAAUCAUGGCCCAGAUGAAGAGCCUUUCACUACUAGGAUGAGAAAUAUUGUGCUUCAAAUGGCUCCCACAUCCCUUUUUGGGACUCUAGUGGCCAUUCUUUCCCCUCACUUAGGGCAGCCUAUAAGUGAGGUUACCCAUACAGUAGCAGACUAAAGAGAGGCUGAAGCAAUGAGAACAUGGAAACAAGGUUUGCUACUCAUAAGAAGAAUUUAAAGGGCCCCAUGAAGGUUAUGAGGACCUAGAUGCGGGUUGAUUUAAUACGGGCAGGAGCAGAUGGAGGGAAAUUAGAUGGGAAGUCAAAUAGGAUCUUACUAGAUCUUUGCCAGCUGCAAAGACUAAAGAGGCAAAGGUCGGAGACAGAGCCACAAGUCUGGCCUGUGUGUUUGCAAGACUGCUUGCUGGAGAGCGAGCCAACCUCACUUGAGCCCACUCAGGAAGAUGAUUAGGGAAUAUGGUUUGACUGAGUGGAGACUCAAGGUACCUACCUACCUGCCCUGAGGGACUGGGGGGGACCAGAGGCCACAUGUUGAAAUAGCUAUUCAUUGGUCCCCAGGGAACAUACAACGUGUCCUGACUUUGGUGGAAACAGAAUGAAUGUUCACUGAUUCAUGGUAACCCUGAGCAGUUCCCUGGGACCCCCACUAACAGAUGGAUAUGGGGUAAGGCUAUCAGAGUGAAACAAGCCCAAAUCCCUUUGAGAAUAGGGCAUCUACCUCCAAAAGAGUAUACUGCAUAUAUAUCUCCUAUCCCUGAAUAUAUUUUAGGGAUUGAUAUCCUGCAGGGCCUAUGGUUGCCGACCACUUCAGGUGAGUUCACAGAGUACGUGUGGUGAAGGCAGUUUGGAGGGGACACGCUAGGCUUCCGCCCUUAGGUUUGCCUGUGCCUCGGCAGGUGACUAAUGCCAAACAAUACGAAUUGCCUGGACAGCAUAAGGAGAUUGGAGAGACUCUCCAGGAAUUGGAAAAGGUGGGUAUUAUGAAGCCUACCCAUAGUCCUUUCAAUUCCCCAGUGUGGCCAGUAGAAAAGCCAGAUGGCUCCUGGCAUAUGACUUUGCAUUACAGAGAAUUGAAUAAAGUCAUACCCCCUAUGCAUGCUGCUGUCCCCUGUAUUGCAGUCCUCGUGGAUACCCUCAGCUACAAACUAGGAACAUACCAUUAUGUGGUAGAUCUUGCUAAUGCCUUCUUUUCCAUUGACAUUGAGCAGGAAAGUCAGGAACAGUUUACCUUCACGUGGGAAGGAUGGCUAUGGACUUUCACCAUCCUUCCACAGGGCUACCUCCACAGCCCCACGAUCUGUCAUGGACUUAUAGCCCAGGACUUGGCUACAUGGGAGAAACCACCAAUGGUGCAGCUGUACCAUUAUACUGAUGAUAUCAUGCUCAUGUCGAAUUCUCUUUCAGAUCUAGAAGGUGCAGCACCUAGACUGCUGCAACAUUUACAGAUGAAAGGAUGGGCUGUGAACAGUACCAAGGUUCAAGGACCUGGUUUGUCCUGUCAAAUUCUUGGGGGUCAUCUGGUUGGGUAAGACCAAGGUUAUACCAGAAACAGUCAGAUAAAGUCCAGGCCUUUCCUACCCCUACAACUGUAGCAUUGCUACAGGAAUUUUUGGGUCUUCUAGGCUACUGGAGAGUGUUUAUCUUGGUACUAAUUCUGAAGCCCUUAUACCUGUUGGUAUGAAAGGGCUUCAGGUGGGACUGGGAUGAGACAUGUGCAUCUGCCUUUACUACAGCAAAACAGGCAGUCAAGGCUGUGCAGGCCUUGAGUGUGAUAGACCCAUCAAGGCCCUGUGAGCUGGACAUUCAUGUGACUGAAGACGGUUAUGGCUGGGGUUUCUGGCAGCGGCUUGAAUGAACUCGCCAACCUACUGGAUUCUGGUUACAACUCUGGAAAGGGGCAGAGGUACGAUACACUUUGAUAGGAAAGCAACUGGCUGCUGUGUAUCAUGACUUGCUGGCUACAGAACGCAUCACUGGAAUGGCCCCGAUAAAGACCGGAAGAUGACCAAAAGAGGCCUGGAGCAUCUGUUUGCCACUUAUGGCCAAACACAGUUGUUUUUAGCCUCUGUUGCUGUUGUAGAAUCUGGUUACAGUGCUCCAGCUUUCUCACACAGGGACCACUGCGGGAGAUUGAGAGUGUGUAAUUGUAAGGGCAGAAGACAAUGGACUGUAGCCCAUUGGUGGGGCUGCCUUUGACCUUUGAAGAAGUAAACAUAGCCAGGCAGGAGUACAUUGUAUGCUCUGAAAGGGACUUAACACUGAGUCCCACAGCAACAUGGGACAAUAGCUAAGAGGCCAUUACCUCUCAUCAAAUGGCAGACUAUACUGGGCCUCUGCCCACAUUUGGUGGGUAUCGAUAUGUCAUGACUUGUGCGGACACAGCUACUGGACUUCUGGUUGCUCUUCCUGUACAUUGCGCAGACCAGCAAAUGACUAAAAGAGGCCUAGAGCAUCUCUUUGCAGCCUAUGGCCAACCUCAUGUAAUUGAGAGUGAUCAAGUCACCCAUUUUACUGGACAUUCACUACAAGAAUGGGUGCAACAGUUGGGAAUCAAAUGGAAGUUUCAUAUGCUAUGCAAUCUUACCAUGGCAGGCAUGACAGAAAGUUACAAUGGUUGAUUAAAAUCUGGCCUGAAGUCAGACACCAAUAGUCUAUGCGGGUGGUCAGUCUGCUUAUGGACAGUGCAUGUGUGUUUGAACGAAAAGCUCCAGAAAUGGGCAGUAAGCCUCACAUACAUGCUAAUACACAUUGCUGUGUCCCCUAUACAACUGCAAGUAGAAACCAAGGAGGAAUCAGUGAUGCUGGGGUUUGACACCAGGAUAAUAUCUUGCUACCAGUACUGACUGCAAUAAACCCCAGAGACUCCAUUCAGUGGACAUGGCCUUGGACAUUUUGACACAUGGAUGAGAGACAGCUGGCCCUCCUGGCACCUUGGGGACCAAUCCUGGAAAGUGGCCUCCUGUGUAUUCCUGGCAGAACAGCAGAGUGGCCCCCAAAGAUCAUGGUAGUAUACCCCAAAUGACCAGAAGAACUUACAUCUUUAAAAUCAGUUGUUGAUUCAGACUCGCUGCUGUCAACGCCUUUCCACAUUGUCAUUCUCUGUGCCAUGAAGAGCGCCGGUGAUGCAGCAUUUAAGAAUGCUCCACUUCUGUCGUCAAGAUUUUGGACCAAGCUCCUGACCAAGCUCCUAUCGUGGUGUGUCUGCACAGGCAAUCCACCCUGGGCCUGACCAUCAUGGCACACCCCGAUUUCAGAGCCAUCCAAACGUGAAAAAGCGGGCACAUUAGAGAAGCAGCACGUGUCAGUCACUGGAAGGCCAGAAACUUCACAUUUACUCUCCAAGAUUUAAAAGCAAAAGGAACACAUCUGGGCCCCUGUGACCAAAGACUAUUUCCUUAAAACAGAUUCCAGCCUUUCACAUGGGAAGACUGGCUGGCAAAGACACGCAGAACCUGUGUGCCCCACUGCUCUUCUCUCAGCUGGACCCUCAUCCUCCUGGUGCAGGAAACCCUGGGAACUCACCUUCCCCCUGCCCUUGGGUCAAGUCUGGUUACCUAUGGCUCAAAUAUCUGCCUUUUCCUGUA